GGGUGACCGGCCACACUGGGACUGAGACACGGCCCAGACUCCUACGGGAGGCAGCAGUGGGGAAUAUUGCACAAUGGGCGGAAGCCUGAUGCAGCGACGCCGCGUGAGGGAUGACGGCCUUCGGGUUGUAAACCUCUUUCAGUAGGGAAGAAGCGUAAGUGACGGUACCUGCAGAAGAAGCGCCGGCUAACUACGUGCCAGCAGCCGCGGUAAUACGUAGGGCGCAAGCGUUAUCCGGAAUUAUUGGGCGUAAAGAGCUCGUAGGCGGUUUGUCGCGUCUGCCGUGAAAGUCCGGGGCUCAACUCCGGAUCUGCGGUGGGUACGGGCAGACUAGAGUGAUGUAGGGGAGACUGGAAUUCCUGGUGUAGCGGUGAAAUGCGCAGAUAUCAGGAGGAACACCGAUGGCGAAGGCAGGUCUCUGGGCAUUAACUGACGCUGAGGAGCGAAAGCAUGGGGAGCGAACAGGAUUAGAUACCCUGGUAGUCCAUGCCGUAAACGUUGGGCACUAGGUGUGGGGGACAUUCCACGUUUUCCGCGCCGUAGCUAACGCAUUAAGUGCCCCGCCUGGGGA
rnacentral:rRNA from 1 species